rnacentral:rRNA from 1 species
AUUGAACGCUGGUGGCAGGCUUAACACAUGCAAGUCGAGCGAGCGGCGGACGGGUGAGUAAUGUCUGGGAAACUGCCUGAUGGAGGGGGAUAACUACUGGAAACGGUAGCUAAUACCGCAUACCAUCAGAUGUGCCCAGAUGGGAUUAGCUAGUAGGUGGGGUAAUGGCUCACCUAGGCGACGAUCCCGAGCUGGUCUGAGAGGAUGACCAGCCACAUUGGAACUGAGACACGUUCCAGACUCUUACGGGCGGCAGCAGUGGGGAAUAUUGCACAAUGGGGGAAAGCCUGAUGCAGCCAUGCCGCGUGUGUGAAGAAGGCCGUCGGGUUGUAAAGCACUUUCAUCGAGGAGGGGUUACUCGCAGAAGAAGCACCGGCUAACUCCGUGCCAGCAGCCGCGGUAAUAC